rnacentral:rRNA from 1 species
GACAGAGGCCUCGAGCGUUGUGCGGAAUCACUGGGCUUAAAGCGUGUGUAGGCGGACGCCUAAGUACCUUGUGAAAUCCCACGGCUCACCCGUGGAACCGCUGGGUAUACUGGGUGUCUUGGGCCAUUCAGGGGCAACUGGAACAAGCGGUGGAGCGGUGAAAUGCGUAGAUAUCGCAUGGAACGCCGACGGUGAAAACAGGUUGCUGGGAAUGUGCCGACGCUGAGACACGAAAGCCAGGGGAGCAAACGGG